rnacentral:rRNA from 1 species
GGGUUGUGAGGUUAAGCGACUAAGCGUACACGGUGGAUGCCCUGGCAGUCAGAGGCGAUGAAGGACGUGCUAAUCUGCGAAAAGCGCCGGCGAGGUGAUAUGAACCCUUGACCCGGCGAUGUCCGAAUGGGGAAACCCAGUGUGAUUCGUCACACUAUCGUUAGCUGAAUACAUAGGCUAACGAGGCGAACCGGGGAACUGAAACAUCUAAGUACCCGAGGAAAAGAAAUCAACCGAGAUUCCCCAGUAGCGGCGAGCGAACGGGAGCAGCCCGGAGUCUGAAUCAGCUUGUGUGUUAGUGGAAGCGUCUGGAAAGUCGCAGGGUACAGGGUGAUACUCCCGUACACGAAAGCACACAUGCUGUGAACUCGAAGAGUAGGGCGGGACACGUGGUAUCCUGUCUGAAUAUGGGGGACCAUCCUCCAAGGCUAAAUACUCCUGACUGACCGAUAGUGAACCAGUACCGUGAGGGAAAGGCGAAAAGAACCCCGGCGAGGGGAGUGAAAAAGAACCUGAAACCGUGUACGUACAAGCAGUGGGAGCAUCCUUCGGGGUGUGACUGCGUACCUUUUGUAUAAUGGGUCAGCGACUUAUAUUCUGUAGCAAGGUUAACCGUAUAGGGGAGCCGAAGGGAAACCGAGUCUUAACUGGGCGUUAAGUUGCAGGGUAUAGACCCGAAACCCGGUGAUCUAGCCAUGGGCAGGUUGAAGGUUGGGUAACACUAACUGGAGGACCGAACCGACUAAUGUUGAAAAAUUAGCGGAUGACCUGUGGCUGGGGGUGAAAGGCCAAUCAAACCGGGAGAUAGCUGGUUCUCCCGAAAGCUAUUUAGGUAGCGCCUCGUGAAUUCAUCUCCGGGGUAGAGCACUGUUUCGGCUAGGGGCCAUCCCGGCUUACCAACCCGAUGCAAACUGCGAAUACCGGAGAAUGUUAUCACGGGAGACACACGGCGGGUGCUAACGUCCGUCGUGAAGAGGGAAACAACCCAGACCGCCAGCUAAGGUCCCAAAGUCAUGGUUAAGUGGGAAACGAUGUGGGAAGGCACAGACAGCCAGGAUGUUGGCUUAGAAGCAGCCAUCAUUUAAAGAAAGCGUAAUAGCUCACUGGUCGAGUCGGCCUGCGCGGAAGAUGUAACGGGGCUAAACCAUGCACCGAAGCUGCGGCAGCGACACUAUGUGUUGUUGGGUAGGGGAGCGUUCUGUAAGCCUGCGAAGGUGUGCCGUGAGGCAUGCUGGAGGUAUCAGAAGUGCGAAUGCUGACAUAAGUAACGAUAAAGCGGGUGAAAAGCCCGCUCGCCGGAAGACCAAGGGUUCCUGUCCAACGUUAAUCGGGGCAGGGUGAGUCGACCCCUAAGGCGAGGCCGAAAGGCGUAGUCGAUGGGAAACAGGUUAAUAUUCCUGUACUCGGUGUUACUGCGAAGGGGGACGGAGAAGGCUAUGUUGGCCGGGCGACGGUUGUCCCGGUUUAAGCAUGUAGGCGGAGGUUCCAGGUAAAUCCGGUACCUUGUUAACGCUGAGGUGUGAUGACGAGGCACUACGGUGCUGAAGCAACAAAUGCCCUGCUUCCAGGAAAAGCCUCUAAGCAUCAGGUAACAUCAAAUCGUACCCCAAACCGACACAGGUGGUCAGGUAGAGAAUACCAAGGCGCUUGAGAGAACUCGGGUGAAGGAACUAGGCAAAAUGGUGCCGUAACUUCGGGAGAAGGCACGCUGAUAUGUAGGUGAAGCCCCUGCGGGUGGAGCUGAAAUCAGUCGAAGAUACCAGCUGGCUGCAACUGUUUAUUAAAAACACAGCACUGUGCAAACACGAAAGUGGACGUAUACGGUGUGACGCCUGCCCGGUGCCGGAAGGUUAAUUGAUGGGGUUAGCUGUAAGGCGAAGCUCUUGAUCGAAGCCCCGGUAAACGGCGGCCGUAACUAUAACGGUCCUAAGGUAGCGAAAUUCCUUGUCGGGUAAGUUCCGACCUGCACGAAUGGCGUAAUGAUGGCCAGGCUGUCUCCACCCGAGACUCAGUGAAAUUGAAAUCGCUGUGAAGAUGCAGUGUACCCGCGGCAAGACGGAAAGACCCCGUGAACCUUUACUAUAGCUUGACACUGAACACUGGUCCUUGAUGUGUAGGAUAGGUGGGAGGCUUUGAAGUGUGGACGCCAGUCUGCAUGGAGCCGUCCUUGAAAUACCACCCUUUAAUGGCUGGUGUUCUAACGUGGACCCGUUACCCGGGUUGCGGACAGUGUCUGGUGGGUAGUUUGACUGGGGCGGUCUCCUCCUAAAGAGUAACGGAGGAGCACGAAGGUCAGCUAAUCCUGGUCGGACAUCAGGAGGUUAGUGCAAUGGCAUAAGCUGGCUUGACUGCGAGAGUGACGGCUCGAGCAGGUGCGAAAGCAGGUCAUAGUGAUCCGGUGGUUCUGAAUGGAAGGGCCAUCGCUCAACGGAUAAAAGGUACUCCGGGGAUAACAGGCUGAUACCGCCCAAGAGUUCAUAUCGACGGCGGUGUUUGGCACCUCGAUGUCGGCUCAUCACAUCCUGGGGCUGAAGUAGGUCCCAAGGGUAUGGCUGUUCGCCAUUUAAAGUGGUACGCGAGCUGGGUUUAGAACGUCGUGAGACAGUUCGGUCCCUAUCUGCCGUGGGCGCUGGAGAAUUGAGGGGGCUGCUCCUAGUACGAGAGGACCGGAGUGGACGCAUCACUGGUGUUCGGGUUGUCAUGCCAAUGGCACUGCCCGGUAGCUAAAUGCGGAAGAGAUAAGUGCUGAAAGCAUCUAAGCACGAAACUUGCCCCGAGAUGAGUUCUCCCUGACUCCUUGAGAGUCCUGAAGGAACGUUGAAGACGACGACGUUGAUAGGCCGGGUGUGUAAGCGCAGCGAUGCGUUGAGCUAACCGGUACUAAUGAACCGUGAGGCUUAACCUUACAACGCCGAAGCUGUU